AAUAUUUUGUGAGCAUUUCGGCAUGGGGUUAUUGGUUAUUUUCUUGUUUUAAGUGGAUAUGGAUAUUGGGUUUCUGAUUUCAGGCAUCCAUUUUUCUUGGUUAAUGUAUUUGUUAACUGAAAUCUAGGAUCGAAACUAAAUUCUAAUAAACAAUUCGUUUUAACUUGUUUUAAUUUCUCAGUUUUGUUCAUUUUAUAGAAUUUCUUUGAAUCCUUUGGUGUAUAGGGGGAAGACUGGUGGGGUUUGUUG
rnacentral:misc_RNA from 1 species